UACGUAGGUGGCAAGCGUUGUCCGGAAUUAUUGGGCGUAAAGCGCGCGCAGGCGGCCUUUUAAGUCUGAUGUGAAAGCCCACGGCUCAACCGUGGAAGGUCAUUGGAAACUGAAAGGCUUGAGUACAGAAGAGGAAAGCGGAAUUCCACGUGUAGCGGUGAAAUGCGUAGAGAUGUGGAGGAACACCAGUGGCGAAGGCGGCUUUCUGGUCUGUAACUGACGCUGAGGCACGAAAGUGUGGGGAUCAAACAGG
rnacentral:rRNA from 1 species